GGCCGCAGUAUUUUAACUGUGCAAAGGUAGCAUAAUCAUUAGUCUUUUAAUUGAAGGCUUGAAUGAAUGGUUGGACGAGAUAUUAACUGUUUCAAAAAAUUUUUUUUUUAGAAUUUUAUAUUUUAGUUAAAAAGCUAAAAUAUAUUUAAAAGACGAGAAGACCCUAUAAAUCUUUAUAUUAAAAUUUAUUAUUAAUUUAUAGAAAUUUUUAUUUAUGUUAUAAUUUAAUAUUUUAUUGGGGUGAUAUUAAAAUUUAAUAAACUUUUAUUAAUAUUUUUUACAUUAAUUUAUGAUUAAUUGAUCCGUUAUUAACGAUUAAAAAAUUAAGUUACUUUAGGGAUAACAGCGUAAUUUUUUUGGAGAGUUCAUAUCAAUAAAAAAGAUUGCGACCUCGAUGUUGGAUU
rnacentral:rRNA from 1 species